UUACUUACCUGGUACUGAUACUUACCUGGCAAGAUUCUCGGCCAUUGCACUCCGGCCGUGCCGACCCCUGCGAAUUCCCCAAAUGUGGGAAUCUCGACUGCAUAAAUAAAGAC
ensembl:snRNA U1 U1 spliceosomal RNA